rnacentral:rRNA from 1 species
UACGGAGGGUGCGAGCGUUGUCCGGAUUUAUUGGGUUUAAAGGGUGCGUAGGCGGCCGAUUAAGUCAGCGGUGAAAUGCACGGGCUCAACCCGUGAGCUGCCGUUGAUACUGGUCGGCUUGGAUCUCGGAGGGGCAGGCGGAAUUUGCGGUGUAGCGGUGAAAUGCAUAGAUACCGCAAGGAACCCCGGAGGCGAAGGCGGCCUGCUGGCCGAAGAUCGACGCUGAUGCACGAAAGCGCGGGUAGCGAACAGG